rnacentral:tRNA from 1 species
GAAAAUUUAGUUUAAAAAAAACAUUAAUUUGUCAAAUUAAAAAUAUUUAAAAUAAUUUUCU